rnacentral:rRNA from 1 species
CUUUUGGAGAGUUUGAUCCUGGCUCAGGACGAACGCUGGCGGCGUGCCUAAUACAUGCAAGUCGAGCGGACCGAACGAGAGCUUGCUCUUGUUUGGUCAGCGGCGGACGG